CAAACCCAAUGAUCUCUACGUAUCUCUCCCGGCUCUCUCCUUUUCCCUAUUGGCAAUAAAAUGAAUUUCCCUGUUGAUGUGCGUAUCAGAAUAAACAUUCAGGAAAUGCAUUUCUAGUGUCCCGGGAAUUUGAAAUUAAAAUAAAAUAGCAAGUGGAACAUGUUCUUUCUAUAUCGUCAAUAUCUUGGGGAAAAAAUGAUGCAAUGGUUUCAACCAAAUGCCCAAAUGUUACUCCAGUCGCAGAUCGUCAGGGAUGUUUGUUGCACCCUUCCUGUUCUCCUCCUUCUAGAAUGGGGUUUCCAACAAGGGUACGCGUUGCCGAGAGGGGAAUGUGAGCAGGUUCAGCUUUUGAGGUGCCCACAUGAAGGCUUGGUUUGAGCUUUCGGACGGAUCACAUGACUGAAGCCCUCCUAUGAGAUCGUGCGGCGGUUUCCUGCUCACCUCGGUUUGAUUCGUCGUGUCGCGGGCGUUUGGCCGGCGCGGGGUCGCCUUGGAAAGGCGGUCUCCUCUGGCCGGAGCUGAAAACAAAACCAUCAGAGCUGUUAGCUGCUAGCUGUCAGGGCAGCUCGACCUAGCGCUGUCUUCAACAGCGUUCUCUUACACACACUCUGUGGGAGCUACUGACUUUAUAUUUUGUCCCUAUUUUUACCCACAGGUUUCUAAGCAGCUGAAAAUCUACAGAAAAAUAUGUCAUAAAUCAUUGAUAUUUCUAUUAUAAGUCUUAAGUUUACUUCUAGGUCAUUUAAAAGGCAUUUGUGCUAAGUGUCCUUGUACCUAGAGAAACCUUACUCCCUUGUCCUCUUCAAUUGAGAGGUGAUUUGUCAGUUAGCAUUUGGAUUGCCCCUGUAGCCACCAAGACCGAUACUGAGGCCAUGCCAGUCCACUGACUUCUUUGUUGUGUAGAUUCCUUGAGAUGUCUUGUAUUCCUGUAGACAUCUCAGCUACCCCCAUAGUGUAUUGGAAAUUAACAUGGCCAAUCCAUAACUCUCCAUGAUGGUCACUCCCCUCUCACCUUUGCUUUGUCAAUUUCAGACCUAAAAUCUUUUGUUGCUUAAUGGCCCACGAUGUGAAAGUUCCCUCGAGAAUCACGGACCCAUUGCCCCCUGAAGGUGCUUGUGUCUGUGUGUCCGUCCGGGGCCCCGGUCCCUUACGCGUGCCGGAGGUGUCCAACGCCAGCCCCUUCAUCCGCCUGCGGCUCUGCUUGCGCUCCUCGUCACGGAUCUUCCGCUCCGCCCCCUUGUCGCAGAACACCUUCACCUGGCUGACCGCGCGGUGCACCAGCCGGUCGCCAUGACGACCCACGGCAUAGGUGUCCACUUGCAGGUUGAGGGGGAGGCCCCGCACGCCCUUCUGGGGGGAGAAGUCUGUACUCAGACAGUUG